rnacentral:rRNA from 1 species
AAACUUGAGAGUUUGAUCCUGGCUCAGAACGAACGCUGGUGGUAUGCUUAACACAUGCAAGUCGAACGAGCGUGGCCUAGCUUGCUAGGAUUCUGCUAGUGGCGCACGGGUGAGGAACACGUGGGAAUCUACCUCAUAGUACGGAAUAACAUUCAGAAAUGGAUGCUAAUACCGCAUAAUGCCUCAGGGCCAAAGAUUUAUCGCUAUGAGAUGAGCCCGCGUUAGAUUAGCUUGUUGGUAAGGUAAAAGCUUACCAAGGCUACGAUAUAUAGCAGGUCUGAGAGGAUGAC